CAGCUAGUUGGUGGGGUAACGGCCCACCAAGGCGAUGAUCCGUAGCUGGUCUGAGAGGAUGAUCAGCCACACUGGGACUGAGACACGGCCCAGACUCCUACGGGAGGCAGCAGUGGGGAAUAUUGGACAAUGGGCGCAAGCCUGAUCCAGCAAUGCCGCGUGAGUGAUGAAGGCCUUAGGGUUGUAAAGCUCUUUCGCCCGCGACGAUGAUGACGGUAGCGGGAGAAGAAGCCCCGGCUAACUUCGUGCCAGCAGCCGCGGUAAUACGAAGGGGGCGAGCGUUGUUCGGAUUUACUGGGCGUAAAGGGCGCGUAGGCGGCGUAUCAAGUCAGGCGUGAAAGCCCCGGGCUCAACCUGGGAAUGGCGCUUGGGACUGGUAUGCUUGAGUUCGGGAGAGGAGAGUGGAAUUCCCAGU
rnacentral:rRNA from 1 species